rnacentral:lncRNA from 1 species
CGCUUAAGUGGCUUAAAGGGGUACUGACACGAAUAUUUUCAGUUGUCGUUUUCUUGCGUUAAAUGAAAGGUCAAGCCCUCCAGAGCCUGGAAAAGGUAGUGCUAAUCGCGAGUGCGCCCUGAAAAAAAGUAAUUACAGUAUGUUUUUGAAAGCUAGUGUCG